GCCUAGAGAAUUGGAGCCACAUGCCCAGGAUAAAUCCAACAAGGCCCGGGGCCAGGACUCAAAGCCAGGAUUCCCGAUUCCAGGACCGGGCUCGUCAACACCGCACUCGUCAGCCUCUCUCUGGAUAUCAUAAUGAAACACCGGGUCCUGGCCCUCGCUUUAUGUCACGACAUCACGAAUGGAAUCACCUCGCACAGCUGAGUGCUGCAAGAUCACAAAGGGGCAAUGGGGGCGGUCUGCCGGAGAAGCGUUUCCAUCCGUGCUCAGAGAGCGAUGCUAACGGGGACAGGCUCUUUCCUCAAGUUGAUAGGGACAACUCCUUCGGUCUAAAGAACAUCAUCUACAAGUGAGGAGAGUUCCAGCAGCAAGGCAAGCAACGUCCUUAAGGCAACGCUAGCUUCGCUACGUACACCAUUUCUUCGGAAUCGGUGUAGAAGACUCCAAGAAAUUCUGGCACGAGAUGGUGCUGCGGCAGAAUCAGGGAAUGCAGAAACGAGUGAAGCAGGUAUCUAGUUCUCGUUUCCUUCAGCUUCUGUGUCAGAUAACAUCUAGUACAGAUGAUAAGAAUCUGCUCCUGAGAAGCGACGUAGAUGUUUCAUGUACUAGAAUUGGAACCCCAAAGUUUAAUGACUUAUUAAGAGAUGUUUUGUUACACAGCAGAUGCUGCAAUAUUUUUCGUGCUAGGGCUGUCUUCCUAUUUCAUCAGGCUGGUUGCACCAUAUUGGAUUUAUACAGGUGACAUGACUCCAAUGACCCUCCUUAUGGGAUCUGGCGGUGAUCGCACGAAGACUAGCACAGGGCACAGAAAGUUUCCUGAACUUGUGACUGGGCUUUCUGACCCCAGAGACAUCCAAUGUCUUAACAGAAGGUCUGGAUUUGGAAUCCCGGUGUUACACUGCUCUCUUAAAAUAAUAAAAUUGGGAGAACAUCAGGAUAAGCGAGUUAUUAAGAAAUCACUUUACCUUUACCUUC